CUCAAUCAGGCGUGACAUGUCCGACAAGCUGGCUUACUACAGCCUCAAUCAGGCGUGACAUGUCCGACAAGCAGGUUUACCACCUCAACCAGGCGUGACAUACAGGCUGGCUUACUACUGCCUCAAUCAGGCGUGACAUGUCCGACAAGCUGGCUUACUACUGCCUCAAUCAGGCGUGACAUGUCCGACAAGCUGGCUUACUACUGCCUCAAUCAGGCGUGACAUGUCCGACAAGCUGGCUUACUACUGCCUCAAUCAGGCGUGACAUGUCCGACAAGCUGGCUUACUACAGCCUCAAUCAGGCGUGACAUGUCCGACAAGCUGGCUUACUGCCUCAAUCAGACGUGACAUGUCCGACAAGUAGGUUUACCAACUCAAUCAGGCGCGACAUGUCCGACAGGCUGGCUUACUACUGCCUCAAUCAGGCGCGACAUGUCCGACAAGCUGGCUUACUACAGCCUCAAUCAGGCGUGACAUGUCCGACAAGCUGGCUUACUACAGCCUCAAUCAGGCGUGACAUGUCCGACAAGCUGGCUUACUACAGCCUCAAUCAGGCGUGACAUGUCCGACAAGCUGGCUUACUACAGCCUCAAUCAGGCGUGACAUGUCCGACAAGCUGACUUACUGCCUCAAUCAGGCGAGACAUGCAUAUGUCUGACAAGCUGGCUUACUGCCUCAAUCAGGCAUGAUAUGGCCGUCAAGCAGUUUUACCACCUCAAUCAGGCGUGAUCUGACCGACAAACUGGCUUACUACUGCCUCAAUCAGGUACAAGCUGACUUAAUUACCACCUGAAUGUAAGGAUCAAUCCUAUCAAUAAGCAUGUUUUCUCUACAACAAAUUUGAUUUUCAUCUCAAAUUAGGUCGGAUGUACUACACAAUCCAAAUUUGGCAUAAAUGUAUCUGUAAUAUCAAAAUAUUCAUUAUCCUUAUUCAUGUCAAGAGGAGACCACAAUGCUAUUGGAAUACUACAAGCUACACAUGUUCAGGUUUGUACAGCACUUGCAUUAAUAACCAUACUGAGUGAUUGGUACCAUAAGAUUAAGAUAUAAUUGUCCUUAAACUAUGGAGAAUGCUAAUACUGGUAUACAUUCAGUAUUGAAUAACUCGACUCUUUGUUUUAGUGUUAUGACCAAAUUGAUAUCUUAUUUGGAAAGCCAGUAAAAAAAAAUUCAACAGUUUUUUUAUUUUUAUUUUAGUGCAUAAAAAGCUUAACUUUUAUUUCUAUUUAACCCAUAACUAACAUAUUAAAAAGCAGAUAGCACUUUCAAAUCAACACAACAUAACAAAAAAUUAGGAAAACAUUAAACUAACAAUUACAUAAUUAACAACAAUUAAGAAGAAUCUACUCCUGGACCAGUAUCUUCAUAACUGCUAUAUCUGUAUCUAAGUUAUAAGCUUCCUAUAAGCACAUCUAAGCGAUUGUAGAUUGUUCAGUUGUAUAGCAUUGCACAGUCCAUUCAUAAUGAAGCUCAAUUCUAUUGACUGUAACAGAAACGCCCUGAAGUUUUAUAACGGUAGUUCAAAGAUGAGCUAAAAAAGCUUUAUUCAACAUAUCAAGAUUUCGGACAAAAAUGUUUUGAAUUAGAAUAAAUCAUCUCGCUAACAUCCUCUUCGCACUGCUUGCUUAUUUUAAACUUCCAAAUGAAAUGAAUUGUAAAUCGUUAUCAAAUUACUCAUGAUCCUGAAGGCCAAUUAAAAGUUACUGCAUGGUCAGGAGUAAAAAUGCAAUGCAUGUAAUCAACGAGGAAAGAACAUACAUGUAUAAGGUCGUUGAUCCAUCUAGAGGACCAAUCAAAUCAAAUCUCUCCUAAGUCUUUAGGUAAUGGGAUUAACAUAUACAUUGUACUGAUACGAGACAUGAAUGAUAGUUGUAUAAAUGGCACAGUUUUAGUGGGUAAUGAUAUGUUGGAGGACAAAUGGGGAAACCAUAAGAAACCUCCGAAACAAAACAUAACACAGAGCGGAGCAAUCGUAUGACAAAUGUAUCAGUACUAAAUGCUGAGAGUGGAGCAAUCGUAUGAAAAAUGUAUCCAUAUUUACAAAGUAAAUUAUUAUCCACUUAUAAUAAUAAAUGUAUGCUGUAUUCAUCAACCAGCUAAAAUAUAUAUCUUUGCAUUAGGAAAGAAGAUGGCACAGCAUUGAAAAAGUAUCAGUUAUCAGCAUUUAUUGUGAAUAGAGGAAAAAGCUUUUGUGAUGUCACAGGUAUGGCAGAAUACGUUUUGAAUAAA